rnacentral:piRNA from 1 species
UGUUCUUUCUUUCUAGGGCCUCAGCCUAAAU